rnacentral:rRNA from 1 species
AAGUCGUAACAAGGUUUCCGUAGGUGAACCUGCGGAAGGAUCAUUAACGUAUCUCUGACGGGGUUUCGGCGCGCCCUGCUCCGGUCCAAAAGGCCGUGCAGCGGGUUCCCGUCCCUGUUCACACCUCACAAACCCACCGUGAACCUUCACGGCAGAAGGGAGGAGACUCCCGGACGCCGCAUACCAAAACCCCAGUUUUAAAGAAUGUCGUGCGGACUUGCGCCGCCUAAAACACAAAACAACUUUCAACAACGGAUCUCUUGGCUCUCGCAUCGAUGAAGAACGCAGCGAAAUGCGAUAAGUAAUGUGAAUUGCAGAAUUCAGUGAAUCAUCGAAUCUUUGAACGCACCUUGCGCUCCUUGGUAUUCCGAGGAGCAUGCCUGUUUGAGUGUCUUGAAGUCAUCAACCCCUUCCGUUUCGCGCGGAGAGGGUUGGAAGUGGGGGCUCUGCUGCCGUGAGGCGGCUCCCCUCAAAUGCAUCGGUUGGGCCUGUGGGUCGAACUCGACUGGGCGUUGUACCAUCCUCGCUUUACAGAGUCCGUUCCCCUUUCCGUGCCCUCCCCCGACCUGCCUGCUAGAGUGGCGGUCAAGCAACAAACUUUGAAAUCUGACCUCAAAUCAGGUAGGACUACCCGCUGAACUUA